rnacentral:lncRNA from 1 species
UCGGUUAAGAAGAAAAAAAAUGUGUUGAUGCAACAAACGUGAACAACAAAACCUGUGUUGGUUCACGAGGAAAAGACAAGUAGUUGUGCUCCAUGUCAUGCAAUUCAGUAAGGUAUAUAUGUAAUAUCAUGGAUUGUCUAUCAAUUAUUUAGUAUUUCCUAUAUUCAAUAUUUAUUUAUGCUUUUUGAACAAUGUCACAGAAAAUAUGAUUAACUUUUGAGGCUCUGCCAUAUUUUCUAUAAAAACUUUGGAGAGCUGGUGUGGUAUGUAAAAACAUUUGGGACAGUUGUCACUGCGAUAUUUUGUUACAUCAUGGGUUGUUACUACCGUGUAUUUUGUUGAAACCUUUUGAAGAACUGCUACUUUUGCCCCUUUUGAAGAACUGCUGCUGUUGCCAUUACUUAAAAUAUGUUGAAUAUCAAUGUCCCUUCUAAAUAUGUUUACAACUAUGUAAAGUUGUUUAUGUAAAUAUGUUUAUUUAGCUUUUAUUUAUAUUAUAAGUGUUAUAUCUUUUUGCUUAA